GACUACCGGGGUAUCUAAUCCUGUUUGAUCCCCACGCUUUCGUGCAUGAGCGUCAGUAUUAAGUUCGUAAUCUGUCUUCACGAUUGGCGUUCUGUGAUAUAUCUAAGCAUUUCACCGCUACACAUCACAUUCCAAUUACGUCUCUUAAACUCUAGUCCGGCAGUAUCAAAGGCACGUUUACAGUUAAGCUGUAAAGUUUCACCCCUGACUUACCGGUCCGCCUGCGCACCCUUUAAACCCAAUAAAUCCGGAUAACGCUUGCAUCCUCCGUAUUACCGCGGCUGCUGGCACGGAGUUAGCCGAUGCUUAUUCAUCAUAUACUUGCAGGCAGGGACACGUCCCUGCGGUUACUCUAUGAUAAAAGAAGUUUACAAUCCAUAGGACCGUCUUCCUUCACGCGGCAUGGCUGGGUCAGAGUUGCCUCCAUUGCCCAAUAUUCCCUACUGCAGCCCCCCGUAGG
rnacentral:rRNA from 1 species